rnacentral:lncRNA from 1 species
CCGGCUCCGCUCCGCUCCCCGUCGCAGGCCGAGCCCAGCCCGGCGGGCUCCGGGAGGGGCGGGCAGGGCGCGAGGGGGAGGAGAUCUGUCUGGAGCCAGCGAGCCGGAGGAGGAAGAGGAGGAGGAAGGAGGGGAAGCCGCCGCCGCCGCCGCCGCGCUCCGGGGACCUGGGCGCGCGCGCUCCGCUCGCCCGAGACCGUGCCUCCAGCCCCGGGCCCGCACCCGGCCCAGCAGGACCAGCUGAGCUGGAGCUGCAGGGUGGAGCUGUCCGGACGCGCAGGCCGAUGGGGACGGAGGUCACGGCCAUGGCAGGACGCGGGCGGACGACGAGAGGCGGCGGGCAGUGAGGGAGGCGCGUCCCUCCCAGCACUCGCGCCGUGCGACCAUGCGGUUUGGGACAGGACGCCCCUGAGUCUGCAAGCAGCCUCCCCUCCCGCCCCUCUGUCCCUUCGGAGGCUGCAGCCCGGCCCCCCACCCAGUCCCCCCACCCCCACCCCUGGGCAGGCUGAGCGGGGU